rnacentral:pre_miRNA from 1 species
GGGGAGCGGCCGUAUCCUGGGCUGUGUCCUGGCGCCCAGUGCUCCCGGGCCUGCGCUGUUGGAUUCGCGCUCCCGGGCCACGCAGCCCCCU